rnacentral:rRNA from 1 species
UACGUAGGGCGCAAGCGUUGUCCGGAAUUAUUGGGCGUAAAGAGCUCGUAGGCGGUGUGUCACGUCGGCCGUGAAAACCUGCAGCUUAACUGUGGGCGUGCGGUCGAUACGGGCACCACUGGAGUUCGGCAGGGGAGACUGGAAUUCCUGGUGUAGCGGUGAAAUGCGCAGAUAUCAGGAGGAACACCGGUGGCGAAGGCGGUUCUCUGGGCCUUACCUGACACUGAGGAGCGAAAGCGUGGGGAGCGAACAGG